rnacentral:lncRNA from 1 species
CUUUUUAGGACCACACCUGAGGACAUGGAAGUUCCUAGGCUAGGCAUUGAAUCAUAGCUGCAGAUGCCAGUCUAAACUACAGCCACAGCUACAUCAGAUCUGAGACGUAUCUGAGACCUAUGGACUUACGCCUUAGCUUGUGGCAAUGCCAGAGCCUUAACCCACUGAGCAAGGCCAGGGAUCGAACUUGCAUCCUCAUGGAUACUAGUCAGGUUCUUAACCCAUUGAGCCACAUCUGGAACUUCAAAUCUUUUUUUUUUCUUUUGGCUGUGCCAGCAGCAUACAGAAGUUCCCAGGCCACAGAUCAAACCUGAGCCAUAGCAGUAACAAUGGCCAAAGCCUUAACUGCUAGGGUCUCAAGGCACUCCUAACAAAUCUUUUUAAAAGAGUUCUUUGAUGGGUGUUGCUGAGGUGCAUCUUGCAGUUAUAAUAAGAAACACAAGGGCUGGUCCAGCCACAACACUGGCUCCAGGCUCACCACGAGUAGUUUGUGCCCAGGUGAGUGCUUCAGGCAUUCCUAGCCCAUAGCAUCAUUACAAGAUGAGCCUGACACAGAACACAAAUGAAUAGAAUAAGGUUGGCUGGUUGUUCCCAAUGUUGUUGGACAAGAUAGUCAAAGAAAAGGAUAAACUCAGAGGUUUAAAUUCCCUUCUCAAUAAGAACAUUCUCUGCAAUAAGUCACAUUUCAGGCCAGAAAACAAGCCUUAAAAAUUUUAAGAUUGAAAUCACACUGUCUCUUCUGACCCCAGUGGAAUGAAAUUAGAAAUGAAUAACAAAAGAGUAAAAUGGAAAAUUCACACUUAUGUGGAAAUUAACACAGUCUUGAACAACCAAUGCGUCAAAGAAGAAAUCACAAGGAACUUAUAAAAUAUCUUGAGACAAAUGAAAAUGAAAACACAACAUACUAAAACUUAAGGUUUGCAGCACUAGCAGGGAAAUUUAGAGUAGUAGAUGCCUAUGCUAAAAAAGAUUUUGAAUUAAAAUCCUAACUUCACACUUCAAGGAUAUAGAAUAAGAAAAACAAGCUAAGACCAAAGCAGAUGGAAAAUAAUAAAGAUUAGAGCAGAAAUAAAUGAUAAAAAGAAUAGAUAAACAAUAGGAAACAAAACCAAUGAAACUAUAAGUUAUUUUUUUUUUCAAAAAGUUAAGGAGGAGUUCCCUGGUGGCCUAGUAGAUGAGGAUUCAGUGUUGUCACUGCUAUGGCAUGGGUUUGAUCCCUGGCCUGGGAACUUCUUCAUGCUGCCAGUUCAACCAAAAAAUAAAUAAAUAAAAAGGUCAAUGAAAUUGAAAGGAAAAAGGGGGCAGGAAAAAACUAUAUUAUAAAGACACACAAUUAUGGUGGUGGUUAAACAGAUAUGACAUUUGCCAAACUCAUUGGGCACUUGAUAUGGGUUAAUUUAUAAAACAUUCAAUUUAAAUUCAAUAAAGUUGAUUUUAUAAAACACCCAAAAGCCUAUUUUUUAAAAGGAGUUAUUGACAAACUUCUGGAAACACAAACAAGAGAAAAGGAGAAGGUAAAAAUAAGCAAUUCCAGGAAUGAGAAAGAGGACAUAACUACAGAUAAAAUAGGGAUUUUAAAGAAAAUGAAAAUAUUUGAACUUAGUGGCAAAAAAAAUUUUAUAAAAGCCUAACUUUAAAAAAUUUAAGAAAAAUAGAAAAUCUGAAUGGCCCCUAAAACCAAUCAAAUCACACACUAUAAAACAAUAAUCCCCAUUUACCAAGUGAAUGUAACUAAACAGUCAAGGAGAACAAACUCUUCCAGGGGUGGGAAAAAUCAUUAAAUUGGGUAAAUCCCAGGAAUGAAAAUAUUCUUUUAACACUAGAAGAUUUAGCGGUUCCUGUUGUGGCUCAAUGAUAAUGAACCCAACCAGUAACCACGAGGAUGCAGGUUCAAUCCCUGGGCUCUCUCAGUGGGUUAAGGACCUGGUAUUGUCAUGAGCUGUGACGUGUAGGUUGCAGAAGUGGCUCAGAUCCUGUGUUGCUGUGGCCAUGGCUUAGGCCAGCAGCUGAAGCUCUGACUCAACCUCUAGCCUGGGAACUUCCAUAUGCCAUGCAUGCGGCCCUAUAAUGCAAAAAAAAAAAAAGAUUUAUCAAUGUAGCAUAUUAACAGAUUAAACCAUAUGAUCAUCUCAAAAGAUGCAUAUUUUACUACUUUUCAUUUUUUAAGACUUUAUUUUUUAAAAUGAGAUAAAAGAUACAUUCCAUUAUAUUCAUUAUCAUUUUCAUUGGGCUACACCAUCAUAUGGCAUAUAUGAUAGAGACGUCAUGUAAAUAGCUAUAUCAAUACCUAGUUAUACAGCAUUUGAUAGCUUACAAAUCACUCUGCAUCCAUUCUCUACCUAAAAUAGCCACUCUCAAGUAGGUACUACCUUUUAAAAUAUACAGAAAUGAGAGUUCUUAUUAUGGCCCAGUGGGCUAAAGAUCCGGCAUUGCUGCAGCUGUGGUGCAAGUCACAGCUCUGGCUCGGAUUUGAUCCCUAGCCCAGGAACUUCCAUAUGCCAAGGGUGUGGCCAAAAAAGAAGAAAAGAAAAAAAUACAUAAAUGAGAAAAGAGAUUUAAAUGGAUGAAGUGAUUUGUCCCAAGUCCCAAGUAUUGUCCUUCUGUUGUUUUUCUGUUAUAUCCUAUGCAAUCCACAUAUAGAUAAUACAAACUAGGAGGAGAAACCCCGAAAUUCUGAACCUAACUCUCCAGUGGUUAUCACAUGCUCUUGGAACAAAUGUUUAACUCCAUAGUUUAUUUCUUUCUCUCUCUCUCUCUCUUUUUUUUUUUUUUUUAGGGCUGCACCUGUGGCACAUGGAGGUUCCCUAGCUAGGAGUCAAAUCAGAGCUGUAGCCACUGGCCUAUGCCACAGCCACAGCAAUGCGGGAUCCAAGCCUUGUCUGCAACCUAUACCACAGCUCAUGGCAACGCUGGAUCCUUAACUCACUGAGAGAAGCCAGGGAUCAAACCCAAAUCGUCAUGGAUACUAGUCAGAUUUGUUUCCACUGAGCCACUAUGGAAAGUCCCGUUUAUUUUCUUAGUCAUAUCUAGCCUUCCUUCUCAAAUCUGUAAUCUACAAUUUAAUACUGGUGUUUUCUCAACUUAAAAACUAUAGCUCCUUCAAAGCCAGAUAAUGCUAGAGGCCUAGCAGUUUCUACCUUCCAACUUGGGAACAAGUAAGCAUUCCUCUUGGUCCUUACUUGGGUACAAAUGCCCUGUUCAUGCCACAAACCUCUGACACAACUUGACCUGCCAUUUCAGUGUCAGAUGGGAGAAUGUCAGGAGAAAGAGGGAGUUGUGACUUUCCUUGUUUCUCCAAGUACAGCUAAAAACCCUGGACAUGCUACAGAAAACAACAUAAGAAGAUUCUGAAAGCUGGAGAGAGUACAGACUGGCUGGGGACCUGGGGCCUGAGGAAGAAGAGAGCACUCUUUGGGUUUUCCUUCUGCCUCACUGCUCUGAAAAAGUGGGCAAUCCAGAAACACCCACAC